rnacentral:rRNA from 1 species
AGUGAACGCUGGCGGUAGGCCUAACACAUGCAAGUCGAACGGCAGCACAGUAAGAGCUUGCUCUUACGGGUGGCGAGUGGCGGACGGGUGAGGAAUACAUCGGAAUCUACUUUUUCGUGGGGGAUAACGUAGGGAAACUUACGCUAAUACCGCAUACGACCUACGGGUGAAAGCAGGGGAUCUUCGGACCUUGCGCGAUUGGAUGAGCCGAUGUCGGAUUAGCUAGUUGGCGGGGUAAAGGCCCACCAAGGCGACGAUCCGUAGCUGGUCUGAGAGGAUGAUCAGCCACACUGGAACUGAGACACGGUCCAGACUCCUACGGGAGGCAGCAGUGGGGAAUAUUGGACAAUGGGCGCAAGCCUGAUCCAGCCAUACCGCGUGGGUGAAGAAGGCCUUCGGGUUGUAAAGCCCUUUUGUUGGGAAAGAAAAGCAGCAGGUUAAUACCCCGCUGUUCUGACGGUACCCAAAGAAUAAGCACCGGCUAACUUCG